GCCUGGGUGGCUCAGUCGGUUGAGUGUCUGACUCCGGGGCUCAGGUCAUGAUCUCAUGGUUGGUGGGUUCGAGCCCCACAUCGGGCU
rnacentral:tRNA from 1 species